CCUACGGGAGGCAGCAGUGGGGAAUUUUGGACAAUGGGCGCAAGCCUGAUCCAGCAAUGCCGCGUGAGUGAAGAAGGCCUUCGGGUUGUAAAGCUCUUUUGUCAGGGAAGAAACGGCUGAGGUUAAUACCUUUGGCUAAUGACGGUACCUGAAGAAUAAGCACCGGCUAACUACGUGCCAGCAGCCGCGGUAAUACGUAGGGUGCAAGCGUUAAUCGGAAUUACUGGGCGUAAAGCGUGCGCAGGCGGUUUUGUAAGUCUGACGUGAAAUCCCCGGGCUCAACCUGGGAAUUGCGUUGGAGACUGCAAGGCUGGAGUCUGGCAGAGGGGGGUAGAAUUCCACGUGUAGCAGUGAAAUGCGUAGAGAUGUGGAGGAACACCGAUGGCGAAGGCAGCCCCCUGGGUCAAGACUGACGCUCAUGCACGAAAGCGUGGGGAGCAAACAGGAUUAGAUACCCUGGUAGUCCACGCCCUAAACGAUGUCUACUAGUUGUCGGGUCUUAAUUGACUUGGUAACGCAGCUAACGCGUGAAGUAGACCGCCUGGGGAGUACGGUCGCAAGAUUAAAACUUAAAUGAAAUUGACGG
rnacentral:rRNA from 1 species